UUACUACCUUUUUCUCUCUCUUUUCCUCUGUCUAUCUUAUUUCAUUUUCAUUUUCAUUUUCAUUUCAUCAAAAACUAGAAGCUCUCUCUCUCAUCCCCUCCAUCAUUUUUGUUCUCUCUCUCUCAAGAAGAGAACCCUUCCAUUGAAGCCAAGCCUAAGUUCUACACUCUCAAAGGUUUGAGGAGGAAGAAAGUACAAGAUUGAAGGAGACGUUUCCGGGGAUGCAUGCAAGCUAGGGUUUCAUAAAUUUCAAAAGGUGUAAACGUCUAGAGGGGUUGAGCCUAGCGAAACAUAGACACUCAAAAUCUCGAACUCAAAGGUAAUGGCAAGGCAAAGUUGGACCAGCCAUGAGUUGGAGGGCUUCAGGGGCGGAGUGUACAUAUGUGGCCUUCUCGACCUCCACGGUCGGGAUUACUUGCAGGAACUAGGGUUGAACCCCUAAUUUUGCUGCCUAGGUUGGCCUUUUGUAUCAAUGUUUUUUAUGUAUCAGUUUAUAAACUCUUUUGAGAUCCUGUGUUCAGAGUAAAACUUUUUAAUGAUUACUGUUUGACAAAAAAUUGUAAUACCUAAUCAUUGGGUUAGUUUUAAUUACAUGGAUUCAAUCCAAAUGACUCAUUUAGCGAGUUAAGCACUAUUGAAAAUACACAGUGUAACGGUCCUGUAUUAGUAGGGCAUUACAAAAUUGAUCCUAUCCUCCUCUACCUUUUUCUUCCCAUUCUUC